UGAGGCUUUAGCUUAAUUAAAGUGACUGGGUUGCAACCAGUAGAUGUGGGUUAAGGUCCUACAGGUCUU
rnacentral:tRNA from 1 species